rnacentral:rRNA from 1 species
GAUGAACGCUAGCGACAGGCCUAACACAUGCAAGUCGAGGGGCAGCACAUGAGUAGCAAUACGAUGGUGGCGACCGGCGCACGGGUGAGUAACACGUAUGCAACCUACCGGUAAAAGGGGGAUAGCCUCUCGAAAGAGAGAUUAAUACCGCAUAAUAUCUUUGGAUGGCAUCAUUUAGAGAUUAAACAUUUAUGGUUUACCGAUGGGCAUGCGUAUGAUUAGCUAGUAGGUGAGGUAACGGCUCGCCUAGGCAACGAUCAUUAGGGGUUCUGAGAGGAAGGUCCCCCACACUGGUACUGAGACACGGUCCAGACUCCUACGGGAGGCAGCAGUGGGGAAUUUUGGACAAUGGGCGCAAGCCUGAUCCAGCCAUUCCGCGUGAGUGAAGAAGGCCUUCGGGUUGUAAAGCUCUUUCGCAAGGGAAGAAAACUUAGCCACUAACAUUGGCUGAGGUUGACGGUACCUUGAUAAGAAGCACCGGCUAACUACGUGCCAGCAGCCGCAGUAAUAC